rnacentral:misc_RNA from 1 species
CUUCUUCUGUUCUAUUUUCUCACAAGGUAUCAGAGCCCCCGGUGAGUCUGAUUUGAAAUCUGAAACAAAAUCCUCAUAGGGAGGAACUUUUUCUCUUUUUUCGGUCACUUUCUGGGAGUCCAUGGCUGUCAUAGCCUAGCCUAGUGGAUUACCCAUCCCAGGAUCGGCCUCUACACUGACCUCCGGUGAAAGACUCCAGUACACACCCCUUCACGAGCGGUCAGCCCGCCGUCACACACGCCAGUGCGUGAGCCCUCUCCGGCAACCGUCUCUCGCCAACGCUUCUUCCCGUCGACUCGCCGACCUUAGACGACCUCAAUCACGCUGGUCCCGU